rnacentral:lncRNA from 12 species
AUGCCAGGAGCUGGGGCCCCGGGCCUGUCUGGGAACGUGACGGCGGGUGGGGCUGACGGGCCCCAGCCAGCCAGGCGCAGCGAGCCCGGGGAGGCAGACACGGCCCGGCUCUGCCUUCCCGCCAGCCGCCGACUUUGGGCCGCGGUGCCCACGUGGGACGGCGCAGAGACCCAGGGUCGGGUGCCCAGCCUCCCCGUCCAGACCCAACGUCCAGGGGGGACGGGCCCGGGCCGCUGCCUGGGCUCCGGCCACUUCCUCUCCCGGCCCGUCUGGCAGCAGAGGGUUUGCCGACAGACCCCGCGGGCACCCUGGGCGUCUGGCUCCUCCUCUGCUCACGCUUGUUCCGUGGAAACAUGCGCGUGGUCUGUGCGUGGCCCCGGCCUGCAGCCGCUGCGGCGACCACCGCGGACGACCCAGCCAGAGCCCUCAGCCCCGACGGCCCCUCCGGGAUGUGCGGCUCCCGGGCGGCCCUUCCCCCCCAGGGGCUGUGCGCAGCGCGCUCCGGGCAGCAAGUGCUUGGUGUCCGUGGCCGCACCCGCGACGUCAGGAAGCGCCCCUCUGUUUCUCGUCGCUGUCCUGUGUCAACGGGUGAAAAUCGAGGGACGACCCAGCGUCUGACCCAGAAGGCCGGGGCGCCCGACGGGACGUGCAGCGUCCGCGUAAAAUGGUGAGACUCGGAGUGACACGGACAUCACAUUGCGGAGCGAAGGAAGAGACAGAAAUAGCACGGUCCCACACAUUGCUGAAAUGCCACGCGGUAAAGUAAACAGCAGCGGCCGUGUCAUCGGAGUGGCUGGAAUGCCAGCGCGCCGUGCCGGCUUCCGUUCGCCGAUCUGUGCUUUCUCAAGCUCCUCCAGGAGACGCCCGAGCCCUGGGAUGCGGGGGAGGCAACACUACUACGGACGCGUCAGAGGCGCUCCAGCCCCCGCCCAGCGGCUUUGAUGGGAUCAGGGGGCUUGGGGUGUCCCCCUGCGGAGGCCCAGCUGCAGGGGGGCUGCAGGCCUGGGGGCUUGCCCGCUCACGGGUCCUCCUCCCGGACCUCCAGCCAAGCCCACGGGUCUUCACAAAGGUCCCCACCUCCACAGUGUGAGCCCAGGGCCCCUUCCUGGGCCGCCCUCGGCCUCCCUGAAUCACCUGGCCAGGCCAUAUGUCCCACCUGAACCCUGGGGGGGUCUCCUCCCUGCGUCCAGGUCAGACCACCUGACCCACCUGUUCCCUGGGGGGCCCUCUCCCUACACGCCCUCCCGGCCGCCCCUCAGCUGCUCAGAUCGCCAGCAGAGCCCACCCAUCCCGACCCCGGCAGGGCCCACAGUGCCUCCACCCAGGGCCCCACGACCCAAGGGGCGGUCACCCCAAAACCUGGCUGGCUGUGGUCCCCGCUCACGUUGCCCCCCCGGAACUCCUCAAGGGCUCCCGGCUGCUCCCGCCUGCCAGCCUUUAGCGGUCCUUUUAGAGAAAUAAAAACUCAGCAGCCAAGUAUUGAUCUCUUGGG